AGUGAACGCUGGCGGUAGGCCUAACACAUGCAAGUCGAACGGCAGCACAGUAAGAGCUUGCUCUUACGGGUUGCGAGUGGCGGACGGGUGAGGAAUACAUCGGAAUCUACUUUUUCGUGGGGGAUAACGUAGGUAAACUUACGCUAAUACCGCAUACGACCUACGUUUGAAAGCAGGUGAUCUUCUUACCUUUCGCGUUUGUAUGAGCCGAUGUCGGAUUAGCUAGUUGGCGGGGGAAAGGCCCACCAAGGCGACGAUCCGUAGCUGGUCUGAGAGGAUGAGCAGCAAAACUGGAACGGAGACACGGACAAGACGACUACGGGAGGCAGCAGUGGGGAAUAUUGGACAAGGGGAGCAAGCAUGAUACAGGAAUAACGAGUGGGAGAAGAAGGCCUUCGGGUUGUAAAGACAUUUUGUUGGGAAAGAAAAGAAGCAGGUUAAUAAAAAGCUGUACUGACGGUACCCAAAGAAUAAGCACCGGCUAACUUCGUG
rnacentral:rRNA from 1 species